CAGAUGGGGAGAGACAGACAGAGACUGAGGGUGGGGGGAGAGAGAAAGGGAGAAAGGGAGAGAGAAAUGGGGGGUGGGUGCAAGGUCUUAAUAGAGAGAAGGAUGCUUUAGAGAGAGAAAAAAUGGAGAGAGACAGAGAGAGAGAGAACAGACAAGAGAGUAAAUAAUAAGAGAGAUUUAGGGGAGAAGGCUCUGAGUGGCAGAGGGUGGCUGAACACGGAAAGGCAGGUGCGGAAGGAAAGAGAGAGACCCACAGAGAGGUGGAGAGCGCCUGACUGGGAGAGACCCCGGGAACGAGACACAGAGAGACACUGAGGAGGCAUCAGAAGGAAGCUGGAGGAAAACAGGAGAGGGGCCAGGCUCCGAUGGAUGAAGGAGGGAGAGGGACGCAGCUGCGAACAGGCUCGGCCACGGACAUAAACUGAGCUGCUGAUAUUACAGACUCAAAGUCAUUUGCAGCCAUUGACUCGGUCUCCUGGCUUCUGUCAUUGGCCCCCGUUUCAAAGACUGAGACCAAGAGAGGGUCGAGAAGUGGCAGAGACUCAGAGCAAGAUUCUCCUGCCCUGCCCUUACAGAAGGCCACAUGCUACACACCUGAGGAUGGCAUCUGCCGGAUCUGCCAGCAAGAACACAGGAACAGCGUCUGUCAUCCCAGGGAAAUGAUCUCUAUCUCUAUCCAAGGGAGCGUGAGAGGACCUCUCCCUAAUGGAACUUCCCGAUGAGAAUGCCGCCAGCGGGCUUCUGGACUGAAGCCUUGGGAAACCACGAGCAGAAACCCCGUGCACUGUGCUGGCAUCCUGAGCCACCGAAAGUGUGAGAUUAAUAAACACGUGCUGCUUUAGGC